AUCGAAAUAGCUCAGUUGGGAGAGCGUUAGACUAUAGAUUGGAAGUCCCUGGUUCGAUCCCGGGUUUCGAUA
rnacentral:tRNA from 1 species